GAUGAACGCUGGCGGCGUGCUUAACACAUGCAAGUCGAACGGAAAGGCCCCCACCUUGGUUGUGUUGCUUUAGUGGCGAACGGGUGAGUAACACGUGGGUGAUCUGCCCUUUAGUUUGGGAUAAGUUUGGGAAACUGGGUCUAAUACCGGAUAGUACCUUGAAUUAGUGUCUCAUGGUGUAAAAAUCAUUGUUUUUGUGCCGGAUGAGCUCGCGGCCUAUCAGUUGGUUGGUUGGGUAGUUGCCUACCUACCCGUCGACCGGUAGCCGGCCUGCGAGGGUGGACGGCCAGAUAGGGAGAGAGGUACCGCCCAGCCACCGACGGGAGGAAGAGGUGGGGAACAUUGCAGAAUGAGCGCAAGCCUGAUGAAGGGCGGCCGAGUGAGGGAGGACGGCCUACGGGUUGUAAACGCCUUUCGUUAGGAACGAAGCCACACCUUUUUUGGGUGUGGUGAAGGUAACUUUGUCAAGAAGCACCGGCUAACUACGUG
rnacentral:rRNA from 1 species